UUAAUUAAGAUUAUAUUCAUUUUAAUUAAGAAAUCUAGCAUAGAAUAGUAUUGAGACAGCAAAUAAUGGACUCUAAAUCCAGAAUGCAGCGCAGCUAAAUGAUGCAAUGGCACUAAGUUACUAGAGAGACUCGACUUGGCUAAUUAUUGUUCCAAUGAACAUGACAGUGUUCAUGACAAUAUCAGAAUAAAAGCUGAGAUAGAUUGAGAUGAGAUAGUUACUGUAUAGACAGAGCUGGACAGAAGUGCUGGAAUAGAAUUGUAGGUUAGACUGUUAAAAAAAAAAAACAAAGAGCAGCAUUUCAGGGUGUGUUAGAGGCCUGCUGUUGCUUAUCUCCCUGCUGUCUGUAGCACAGUGGCAGUAGCAUCUAUCAAGCUGGCGCCAACUGUCCCAACACACUGAUCUGCAUGCAGCUUACAGCCACAGACAACCUAAGCUCAGACAGGCAGAGACUGAACAAGGAUCAGUAGCAAGACAGAAGUGAUAAGGCAGUCUCAGGCUGUCCAACACAGAUAGAACUAUGAAGAUGUUAUAUAAAAAGAUGCUCUUUGAAAACUGAAAUAAAUGAAGAAAAUAGUGCUGUUGUAUUUAACAUCACACACGUGCUCAGAACCGAAAGUACAUUUCUGUGCUCCCCUGAUCAGAAUAAAGCAGCUAAGCAGCAAAGUACCAUGCCAAACUACUCUGGGACCUCACUCUCAUGACAACAGCAUCAAUCGUCAUCAUG